rnacentral:lncRNA from 10 species
CAAAGGAGCAGGAGGAAGUGUGUGGAAGUGAUGGGUGUGCUCCUUGUCUUGAUGGUGGUGAUGGUCUCUUCAGUGUAUAAAUACGUUAAAAUGUAUCAAAUUAUAUACUUUUGUGAUACCCUAACUUGUAUUAACUUGAUUGACUCUCUCUUAGCUAAGAAAGCCGGAGGGAUUCCAUUCGGCUCCUUCAUUUGCAAGACGUUAAGGGCUCCUUACCCACCCCCUUCCUCAAGGACUUAACUUGUGCAAGCUGACUCCCAGCACAUCAAAGAGUGCAAUUAGCUGAUAAGGUACUGUGGCAAGCUGUGUCCGCAGUUCCCAGGAAUUUGCCCGGGUGAUAGUACUCUAGUGCCCCUGCGUUUGUGUCCGGCAGAUAGCACCCAGAGCCCCC